rnacentral:rRNA from 1 species
GUGUCAGCCGCCGCGGUAAAACCAGCACCUCAAGUGGUCAGGAGGAUUAUUGGGCCUAAAGCAUCCGUAGCCUGUUCUAUAAGUUUCCGGUUAAAUCCAUUAGCUCAACUAAUGGGCCGCCGAAAAUACUGUAGAACUAGGGAGUGGGAGAGGUAGACGGUAUUCGGUAGGAAGGGGUAAAAUCCUUUGAUCUAUUGAGGACCACCUGUGGCGAAGGCGGUCUACCAGAACACGUUCGACGGUGAGGGAUGAAAGCUGGGGGAGCAAACCGGAUUAGAUACCCGGGUAGUCCCAGCUGUAAACGAUGCAGACUCGGUGAUGCGCUGGCUUGUGGCCAGUGCAGUGCCGCAGGGAAGCCGUUAAGUUUGCCGCCUGGGAAGUACGUACGCAAGUAUGAAACUUAAAGGAAUUGGCGGGGGAGCACCACAAGGGGUGAAGCCUGCGGUUCAAUUGGAGUCAACGCCAGAAAUCUUACCCGAAGAGACAGCAGAAUGAAGGUCAAGCUGGAGACUUUACCAGACAAGCUGAGAAGUGGUGCAUGGCCGUCGCCAGCUCGUGCCGUGAGAUGUCCUGUUAAGUCAGGUAACGAGCGAGAUCCCUGCCUCUAGUUGCCACCAUUACUCUCAGGAGUAGUGGGGCGAAUUAGCGGGACCGCCGCAGUUAAUGCGGAGGAAGGAAGGGGCCACGGCAGGUCAGUAUGCCCUGAAACUUUGGGGCCACACGCGGGCUGCAAUGGUAGCGACAAUGGGUUCCGAAUCCGAAAGGAGGAGGUAAUCCUCAAACGCUACCACAGUUAUGAUUGAGGGCUGCAACUCGCCCUCAUGAAUAUGGAAUCCCUAGUAACUGCGUGUCAUUACCGCGCAGUGAAUACGUCCCUGCUCCUUGCACACACUGCCCGUC